AUCCUAUCCUGUAAUCCUGUAACAAUUCUUUAAAAGAAGGUUUAUUCAAUAGUGGAAUUCCUAUGUGGCAUCCUCUAGAUUUUUUUCAAAUUUUUUUAUGAAUGGUCUUUAUUACAAUAACACCCCAUGAUCAAAUCAUUCGCAUUCCACUACUUUACAUGUACACACUCCCCUAAAAUUUCAAAUUUCGAAUUCAAAAUCGAUUAAAAAAGAGAUUCAUUCCCAAUUUUCCAUCAUCUACGUUCUCCUGUUUCAUUUUUCUCUCUUCCUCCUCUUCUUCUUCGAUUCUUCUCCUUCAUCGUCAGUUCCUCCUUUUUUUUUUCUUCCCUUCUUCCGUUCGUUUCUUCUUCCUGUUCCUAAUCUAAGUUGGAGAUGGAGGUUAUAAAGUUCAUGCACUUACCAAGGCAGAGGAUCUCAUUGUACCUGAUGGCUCCAAACUUAGGGGAGUCAUCGCGGUGGAGGCAAUGCCAGCGGUGGUGGUAGGGUUACGGCAGUGGAUGAGGUGCCGAUUGCUGUGGUGGUGGACGAUGGUAUGACGUGGUGGUCGCAGUGGGUGUGGUGGAGUUCGUGGUAACCAUCCAUGUGUGGUGAUGGAUACGGAGGAGGAACCGGUGGAAGAAAGCAUAUAGCGGGAGAGUACUAAGUGGCGUUCAUAGAGAGCACAUGUAGUGAGACUAUAAAAGCCGAGAGCACAGCAGAACAGAGCCGUGAGAUCUAAUCGGUGUUCAGAGCAGAUUUGCAUGUAUUAGACAACAAAAUCAAAUCAGCUGUCUGAAACAUGGUUCGGUAUCUCCUUUUGAGUUUUGAUAUGGAGUUUGGUAUCUACAGGUUGAAUGGUUGAUCUAAGUAGAGCAAGGCACCUUUGCUUGAGAUAGUUUUCAAGUCUGAUAUAAAAACGGGUAUUAAAGCAGCAGAGCAUGCAGCAGAAAUACAGAGAUUGGUUCGGUAUUUGGGAGUGAGCAAUGGCAAUAUGAAAACUUUUUCUAUACUAACAGUGGUGGGUGCUUUCAGUAUCUAAAUCCACUAUCAGCAGAAGUACAUAAUUCAAGUCCCCAAACAUAUAUCACCGACGUAGAAAGUGCAAAUGUAUGAACCACUCGCAAAUUAACUUUUUCAUACUAAGCAUGAUAUGUAUUUGUGUGGACUUGGCACUUAUACAUAUUUUUUUCCUCUAAUUUUGGUUAACUUAAUUGUGACUUGAUUCCUAAGGAAGUCUCGAUGUUUAUUCUUAAGCUUUUGAAUAUCACAAAUUGUAUUGCAGGGUCAGCAGACAAUACACUAAAAUUUGGGAUUUAGAAUCCUUUGAACUGAUUGGAUCUACUAGACAAGAGGUUUCACAUUUAGUGUCGUAUGAGUCGUGGUGUUAUCAAUAGAGAUUAUUGGUGGGUUUGGAUUCUGUAGUUUCUCUGUUUUAAAUGUUCUUAUUGUGCAUUAUUUUCUUUUUUAGGUUCACCUCAUUAUGUACAAGCACAAAUAUAGUGGAGGUCAUGGUUCUCAAUGAAUUUUGACAGCAAAGCUACAAAGGCUUCUCGAUAGUGCAAUAUGAAGACAAGAUCCAUGGGUGUGAAGAAUUCUACUAAGAAAACUAUUAGAAGGAAUCACAAAUAAGUGUUAUUUCAGCAGGGUUCAAGCUAUGAUCAAGAAGCUUUACCUUAAGUUACCAAGAAUAAACCACCAGUUUCUUUCUUCAAAUAGCUAAAGAGAAAUGGUAAAUUCAACUUUCCGUUUUGUGGAUGACUGCUAUUAUAAUAUACAUUUAAUUCACAUUUAUCUAUUUAUUUUUUGAAUUUGAUCUGUUUUAUUUUGUUCUCUUUUACCUUUUCCUGUUUUAUUUCAAUUUGAAUGCUUCUAUAGUAAGAACAUUGCCAUCAAUUGCUUGGAUAGAGGUGGAUUUGAUAUUCUUCUUUCAGUGGUUAUGUUUUAGUUCGAUGAGGUGGAUUUGGCUGGCGCAAAGUUUGAAUAAUGGUUUGUUGAGAUGGUGAAUUUGUCUCUUUAUCUUGAAAAAAUUAUAUAUUUGGCAAAUAUAUGCAUUUAAACCAUUUUUACAAUUUUUCUUUCGAAAGCCUCCGUUCCUAUAGAAUUAAGAUAGUUCUUUCUUAGACUCUUUAAUUUAUGAGAACCUAUUAUUUUACAUAAUGAAUUUAGAGAUCAACCAUUUUGCAUUGCUGGCACUGUGCAUCAUGUUUUCUAGAAAAAUAACUAUUUAUAUUUCUUAAAUGAUUUAGGACUAUGAAGUUCUCAAAAAACUUGCUUGUGUGACUGAUAAAUCUGAUAGGAGAGCCCUUGAGCAAUUACGUGAGUAAGAAGAUUCAGUAUUUCGUUGUACUUAAUGUUCUAUGCACUUUUUUUUUCAUUGUACUUAGUGUUCCAUGCUCUUUUUUCUUUUUAAUUUUUGUUGAAAUCAUGUGCCUUCUCCUGCUUAUUUGCUUUUCAAAUAGUUGGGUAUUGAUUUGCCUAUAUAUUAUGACUUAAUUUUUUCCAUUUGAGGGAUAUAAUUUUGCUUUAAAAUAUUGGAUUGCCAUUCUUUAAUUGAGUUCUUUGUUUACUAUAGAGAAUUCUGCACCACAAUUCCUAAUGAUUUUGGAUUCAGAAAAAUUAAGCUCUCUCUCCCAUACGUUUUUUUAUCCACUUUGUUUCCUUUUAUAUUAAUGAUAUGUAUCAAUUGCUUUGCAACAUUAGUAUUUGAUAUUCUUCUUUCAGUGGUUAUGUUUUAGUUCGAUGAGGUGGAUCUGGCUGGUGCAAAGUUUGAAUAUUUAUGGUUUGGACUUUGGAGUGAAUAUUUAUUUUUUAAAAAAAAAUCAUGAAGCUUUUUAUUUUUUGCUGCUUUAGUUUGCAUUAUUGUAUAUUCACGCUCUAACUACACAUGCUAUAUUUUUUCAGCUAAUUUUUGUUGAGAUAGUGAAUUUGUCUAUUUAUCUUGAAAAUUUUAUGUUUGGCAAAUAUAUGCAUUUAAACUAUUUUUUCAAUUUUUCUUUUGAAAGUCUACGUCCUAUAGAAUUAAGAUAGUUCUUUCUUAGACUCUUCCAUUUAUGUGAACCUAUUAUUCUACAUAAUGAGAGUUUAGAGAUCAACCAUUUUGCAUUGCGUGCAUUGUGCAUCCUGUUUUCUAGAAAAAUAGCUAUUCAUAUUUCUUAAAUGAUUUAGAGCUAUGAAGUUCUUAAAAGACUUGCUUAUGUGAUAUAUAAUAUUCUAUGCUCUUUUGAAUGUCCAUAAUUGUAUUUGUCUUAUUAUCAUCAUUAUUUUGACUGCUGCUUUAUUAAUGUAUAUUUAUAAUUUUACAUGACUUUUGUGGUAUUAUGUAGCAUGUGAAGUUGGUGACAGUGUCAUUGCAAUGUUAGAUGAUCUUAAUCAUAGGAAAGGGCUCUUCCUCUCUGGGACAUGGAUUGAAGACCAAAUGCAUUAGAUGAAUCUGAAAUUUUUACAAGGAUAUACUGUAUUUGAAGCUUGCUAAUGAGGAAUUUGUUUGCCAUUGGUAACGGAUGCAAGAAGUUAAGGAAUCUAAUACUAUGUCACAAGGGUUUGGAAGUAAUUGCUACCGGAUGCAAGGAAUUUACAUAUCUUGAAGUCAAUGGAUGUCACAACAUUCGAGCUUUGUAGCUAGAAUCCAUUGGAAGAUCUUGCCAGUUUGUAUGUAAAAUAAGGAAUGAAUUAACCAUUCAAUAAAUAGGUAACAUAAGGAAGCACGGGACACAUGUUUGGCCUCUUUAUAUUUACAUUUGGUCAAGUUUUUCAUUGCUUGCUAUGUGUGUUUCUCUGUUUAUUUUUCGUUUGUGGUGCUAUACUCGACUUUCUAAUGACAGACAUUUUAUUGA